rnacentral:rRNA from 1 species
GACGAACGCUGGCGGCGUGCCUAAUACAUGCAAGUCGAACGCAGUGGGGACGGGUGAGUAACACGUGGGUAACCUCCCAUCAGAGGGGAUACCACUUGGAAACAGGUGCUAAACCGAUACUGAUGGAUGGACCCGCGGUGCAUUAGCUAGUUGGUGAGGUAACGGCUCACCAAGGCCACGAGGCGUAGCCUGCCGUGGAGGGUGGUCGGCCACACUGGGACCGUGACACGGCCCAGACUCCUACGGGAGGCCGGCGUUGGGAAUCUUCGGCCAGGGACGAAAGUCUUACCGAGCAACCCCGCGUGAGUGAAGAAGGUUUUCGGAUCGUAAAACUCUUUUUUUAUAGAAGCCGUAUCUAACCAGAAAGCCACGGCUAACUACGUGCCAGCAGCCGCGGUAAUAC